UACAGAGGUCCCAAGCGUUGUUCGGAUUCACUGGGCGUAAAGGGUGCGUAGGCGGUCGGGUAAGUCUGAUGUGAAAUCUCACAGCUUAACUGUGAAACUGCAUUGGAUACUAUCCGGCUCGAGGAAUGGAGGGGAGACUGGAAUACUUGGUGUAGCAGUGAAAUGCGUAGAUAUCAAGUGGAACACCAGUGGCGAAGGCGAGUCUCUGGACAUUUCCUGACGCCGAGGCACGAAAGCGUGGGGAGCAAACAGG
rnacentral:rRNA from 1 species